CAUGAUCCAUUACGUCAUCCUCUCAGUCUUCUUAAUUUUCUCAAUGACAGAACUCGGCACUUCCAAGAGUUUUAGUGAUGCUGUCAGUUACAAAAGGUCAGCCAUCGGAGAUCUUAUCAGGAUGAAAGCCCUAGCUUUGAAGGAUGAGAUAAUUGCCCAUGGACUCAAUGCAUCUAACUAUGGAAGAUAGCCGCAACAAGCUUUCGUAGAAGUUAAUGAUUCUUAGAAGAGAGUUAAUCUAAAUGUGUCUGUAUUUAAACAUAUUGAAAUAAAUAGUUGAACCCAA